rnacentral:SRP_RNA from 1 species
CCGUGCUAGACGGGGAGGUAGCGGUGCCCUGUAACCUGCAAUCCGCUAUAGCAGGGUCGAUGCCUGGCUGAGGCUUACUUCUGUGAGGUCUGCCCUAAGUAAGUGGUUAUGACGAUUGGGUCCUGCGCAAUAGAAUCCCAUGAACCCCGUCAGGUCCGGAAGGAAGCAGCGGUAAGUGGGUACUUCUAUGUGCCGCAGGGGUGCCUGGUCUGAGCUAACUGCUUAGGUAACGCUCGGAGUAGUAAGUCGAUGUCAGGUGCACGG